rnacentral:misc_RNA from 1 species
GAAAUAUCUUUAGAUUUCAACCCAGCAUUUUGAAGGAGUAAAACACAAAGAACCUCCAAAAGAGGAGCAGAGGCUGGAUAUUCAGGCAAAUUCAAAGUAGUUAACAGAUCAAUGACAAGAUUCUCAAUCAUUGUCUUCAACUCAGCUGCCUCCUGAUUUUUUGUGUUUGUUAGACGUUGAAGAACACGACUCCAGAAAAGACAGCAUGCUUCCGUGACUGACUCACAAGAUUUGGUAGGGUAACUGGCAUCAACUGAAACUUCUAGAGAAGGACUGUCAGAUGAUUCCCUCAAAACAUCUGGAAGGUUUGAACUGCUGUGAAC